AGUGGAAGGAAGUCAUUCCAACACAAUAGAUGAAGAACAAAUACAUAAAAGAAAUAUAAUUGAACCAAAAAAGAAGCUAUCCAUCACCAACUUAUCCCACGACCACUAAGUUUAAGGAUCAAAACCACCUCAAAGAAUAAGCAUGAGAUGAUGAGAAUCGAAGCAUAUUUUAAAGGUCAAAGCACCAGCUUCAAACAACAACAUAGGCUACUAGCCGUGUGGUGUUGUCAGAACAAGCCUGGUAAAAGAAGGUUUUGCUACAUGUCUACAUACCAGCAUCUCUUUCUACAUCAAAGGAUU
rnacentral:misc_RNA from 1 species